UUGGUGACCUUUGUAGCAAAAUCUAUGGAUCUAUCAUAUGUGAAAUUGGAUUCCAAAAUCAAAGGAGAGACAAGGAGGCAGAAAAAUAUUUUGAAAAACUGCAGUUUUUCCUGUUUAAUGUAAACUAUACACCUAGAGAUCCAUGAAGUUCAACAAACCCAAAGUGGGAUAGACACAAAGAACAUCACACUAACACACAUCAUAUUUAAUAAGGUAAAAAUGGAUAAGAAAGAAGAUUUUAAAAGCAGCUGGUCAGGGGAAAUCACCACACCCUGGAAAACAAACAUAAGGAUGUGACUACGACCUCAUUGUUGGAAACAAACAAUAGCACAAUGAAAUAUGUCUGAGAAGAAAACCCUGCCGACCUAGAAAUCUAUAUCCAACAAAAAUAUGUUACAAAAAAGCAAAGGCAGAAUAGUUAUUCAAGUAAAAAGUAAGAGAAUUCAUUGCAAGCAAAUUAGACUAAAGAAAUGUUUAGAAAGCUCUCGG
rnacentral:lncRNA from 1 species